rnacentral:rRNA from 1 species
UGGCGGCGUGCUUAACACAUGCAAGUCGAACGAAGCACCUUAUUCUGAUUUCUUCGGAAUGAAAAAUUUGGUGACUGAGUGGCGGACGGGUGAGUAACGCGUGGGUAACCUGCCUCAUACAGGGGGAUAACAGUUAGAAAUGACUGCUAAUACCGCAUAAGACCACAGCACCGCAUGGUGCAGGGGUAAAAACUCCGGUGGUAUGAGAUGGACCCGCGUCUGAUUAGGUAGUUGGUGGGGUAACGGCCUACCAAGCCGACGAUCAGUAGCCGACCUGAGAGGGUGACCGGCCACAUUGGGACUGAGACACGGCCCAAACUCCUACGGGAGGCAGCAGUGGGGAAUAUUGCACAAUGGGAGAAACCCUGAUGCAGCGACGCCGCGUGAGCGAUGAAGUAUUUCGGUAUGUAAAGCUCUAUCAGCAGGGAAGAAAAUGACGGUACCUGACUAAGAAGCACCGGCUAAAUACGUGCCAGCAGCCGCGGUAAUACGUAUGGUGCAAGCGUUAUCCGGAUUUACUGGGUGUAAAGGGAGCGUAGACGGAGUGGCAAGUCUGAUGUGAAAACCCGGGGCUCAACCCCGGGACUGCAUUGGAAACUGUCAAUCUAGAGUACCGGAGAGGUAAGCGGAAUUCCUAGUGUAGCGGUGAAAUGCGUAGAUAUUAGGAGGAACACCAGUGGCGAAGGCGGCUUACUGGACGGUAACUGACGUUGAGGCUCGAAAGCGUGGGGAGCAAACAGGAUUAGAUACCCUGGUAGUCCACGCCGUAAACGAUGACUACUAAGUG